UACGUAGGGGGCAAGCGUUGUCCGGAAUUAUUGGGCGUAAAGAGCGUGUAGGCGGUCCGGUAAGUCAGCUGUGAAAGUCAAGGGCUCAACCCUUGAAAGCCGGUUGAUACUGUCGGGCUAGAGUCCGGAAGAGGCGAGUGGAAUUCCUGGUGUAGCGGUGGAAUGCGCAGAUAUCAGGAGGAACACCAAUAGCGAAGGCAGCUCGCUGGGACGGUACUGACGCUGAGACGCGAAAGCGUGGGGAGCAAACAGG
rnacentral:rRNA from 1 species